CUCCACAACAAGAGCCACUUCAAUGAUGAGCUUGCUAUAGAAACGUGAAUGAUUGUCUUUGCUUAUGCGGGCCUUAUCUGAUUGGGUUAUUUUCAACUUUUUGCACAUUUAGUCUUUUGACGUGUAUGUACAUAAAUCUUUCAUCACACAGCCCUGUUUUGGGCUGCUUGAGAUACCUUUGUGUGCAGUGCUUAUGAUCACAACUGCAAGAUGUUCUGAGAGUUUUGUUGUGACUUUGGCAUGAUCAUCAUGCACCCCUUAAAAU
rnacentral:misc_RNA from 1 species